AAGAUCUGACACCCUUCACACACAGAC
rnacentral:piRNA from 1 species